rnacentral:lncRNA from 1 species
AAAAGACUUGAGAGCCUUUUACCAUUAGAAUUGUAUUUUAUUUGAGAGCUCUUGGAUUUGGCUCGACUCCUUCACGUUAUUUGCCCCAGGUUGAACUUAUUUUUGCUUUGGAUUGGCCUUAUUUUGACUUCGGACUAACCUGAAUCUGAUUUCGGACUGGCCUGAAUCUGAGCUUCAAACUGAUCUGAAUUUAAGCUUUGGACUAGCUCUGAUCUGCCUUCGAAUCAGCCUUAAUCUGGACUUCAGAUUGUUUUGGAUCUGACUUUGAAUUGGCUUUUAUUCUGACUUUAAAUGGGCUUGAUCUGAACUUCGGAUCAGUCUUAAUUUAGACUUUAGAUCGUCUUGGAUUUGACUCCAGAUUGCUCCUUAUUCUGACUUUAAAUGGAUUUGAUCUGGACUUCAGAUCAGUCUGGAUCUGUUUUCGAAUUGACUUUGAUCUGAUUUUAGAUCAGCUUUAAUUUGAGCCUUUAGAUUAGGCUUAGACCUGACUUCAAACUAGCCUCUGUCUGGAUUCGAAUCAGAUCUAGAUCUGAUUUUGAAUUAGCUUGAUUUUAACUUCAGAUGAGAGUUCUUAACCUCCU